GAUGAACGCUGGCGGCGUGCCUAAUACAUGCAAGUCGAGCGAACAGACGAGGAGCUUGCUCCUCUGACGUUAGCGGCGGACGGGUGAGUAACACGUGGAUAACCUACCUAUAAGACUGGGAUAACUUCGGGAAACCGGAGCUAAUACCGGAUAAUAUAUUGAACCGCAUGGUUCAAUAGUGAAAGACGGUUUUGCUGUCACUUAUAGAUGGAUCCGCGCCGCAUUAGCUAGUUGGUAAGGUAACGGCUUACCAAGGCAACGAUGCGUAGCCGACCUGAGAGGGUGAUCGGCCACACUGGAACUGAGACACGGUCCAGACUCCUACGGGAGGCAGCAGUAGGGAAUCUUCCGCAAAGGGCGAAAGCCUGACGGAGCAACGCCGCGUGAGUGAUGAAGGUCUUCGGAUCGUAAAACUCUGUUAUCAGGGAAGAACAAAUGUGUAAGUAACUAUGCACGUCUUGACGGUACCUAAUCAGAAAGCCACGGCUAACUACGUG
rnacentral:rRNA from 1 species